UACGUAGGGGCGAGCGUUGUCCGGAUUCAUUGGGCGUAAAGGGUGCGUAGGCGGCGCGGUAAGUCGGGUGUGAAAUCUCGGAGCUUAACUCCGAAACUGCAUUCGAUACUGCCGUGCUUGAGGACUGGAGAGGAGACUGGAAUUUACGGUGUAGCGGUGAAAUGCGUAGAUAUCGUAAGGAAGACCAGUGGCGAAGGCGGGUCUCUGG
rnacentral:rRNA from 1 species